GUCCUCUAAUGGUUUUGUAAGUAAUUAGCUCUUGGGGUCUCCAGAUUUACAUUCUAUCAGCGAGGUUUUUAGUCGACUUCGUCAAUCUUCUGUAUCCGUGUCUGCGCCAUCUCCUGAUCAUUCAGCAUUAUCUUCUGCUGUUUUUGGUAUUGUUGGUUCUUCAUUUAGCCGUGGUCGUGGUUGCGGCCGUGAUUCUGCGUUUAGUGGUCAUGGUUGUGGUUCUGGGUUUAGUGGUCGUAGCUUUGGCUUUGGCUAUGGCUUUGGUAGUCAUGAGUGGACAUGGGGGUCGCAUGUCAGGGGGAGGUGAUCCUGGUUGUGGCUGUAGUUCCAGAUUUUGUACACAUUGUGGGGAAACAAAUCAUACGGUGGAGUAUUGUUAUGAUCUUCAUGGUUUUCCUAAGGCUCAUCAGGUUGCUAUCUCUUAGGAUGCUGGUAGCUUACUCAUUCUUCUGCUGACAAUGUGGUGACUAUCUCUGCAGAGGAGUACCAGCGCCUUGUGUCAAUUCAGUUUCAUCUGCGGGAUAUCAAACAGGGAGGAAGAUUGGUGGCAGUGCUGACUGAUGAUGCUCAUCCUUAGUCAGUUGCUCUUCAGUCAUCAGAGUCACCAUAUUAACAACAUUGUUGGCUUGGUCAUCCAUCUCUUCAGAAUCUGAAACGUCUAGUGCCUUCAUGUAGUCGACUUAAUGAUUUGACCUAUGUAGUCUGUGAGUUUAGUAAACAUCGUCGAGUGACCUUUUACCCUAGCGUUAAGCGUCGUCUAUCGAGUCCUUUCAGUUAGUUCAUUCGGAUGUUUAGGGGCCCAUGCAUGUUCCCAAUGUUUUUGGCUUCCAGUAUUAUGUUAUUUUUGUUGAUGGUUUCUCCCGUGUUAUAUACCUUUAUCUUAUGAAAGAGAGAUCCGAGUUGAAGUA